rnacentral:rRNA from 1 species
UACGGAGGGUGCGAGCGUUGUCCGGAAUCACUGGGCGUAAAGGGCGCGUAGGCGGCGCGACAAGUCAGUGGUGAAAGCCCGAGGCUCAACUUCGGGUCGGCCACUGAUACUGUCGGGCUCGAGCACUGUAGAGGCAGGUGGAAUUCCGGGUGUAGCGGUGGAAUGCGUAGAGAUCCGGAAGAACACCGGUGGUGAAGGCGGCCUGCUGGGCAGUAGCUGACGCUGAGGCGCGACAGCGUGGGGAGCAAACAGG